rnacentral:rRNA from 1 species
AGUUUGAUCCUGGCUCAGGAUGAACGCUAGCUACAGGCUUAACACAUGCAAGUCGAGGGGAAACGACAUCGAAAGCUUGCUUUUGAUGGGCGUCGACCGGCGCACGGGUGAGUAACGCGUAUCCAACCUGCCCACCACUUGGGGAUAACCUUGCGAAAGUAAGACUAAUACCCAAUGAUAUCUCUAGAAGACAUCUGAAGGAGAUUAAAGAUUUAUCGGUGAUGGAUGGGGAUGCGUCUGAUUAGCUUGUUGGCGGGGUAACGGCCCACCAAGGCGACGAUCAGUAGGGGUUCUGAGAGGAAGGUCCCCCACAUUGGAACUGAGACACGGUCCAAACUCCUACGGGAGGCAGCAGUGAGGAAUAUUGGUCAAUGGGCGAGAGCCUGAACCAGCCAAGUAGCGUGCAGGAUGACGGCCCUAUGGGUUGUAAACUGCUUUUAUAAGGGAAUAAAGUGAGUCUCGUGAGACUUUUUGCAUGUACCUUAUGAAUAAGGACCGGCUAAUUCCGUGCCAGCAGCCGCGGUAAUACGGAAGGUCCGGGCGUUAUCCGGAUUUAUUGGGUUUAAAGGGAGCGUAGGCCGGAGAUUAAGCGUGUUGUGAAAUGUAGACGCUCAACGUCUGCACUGCAGCGCGAACUGGUUUCCUUGAGUACGCACAAAGUGGGCGGAAUUCGUGGUGUAGCGGUGAAAUGCUUAGAUAUCACGAAGAACUCCGAUUGCGAAGGCAGCUCACUGGAGCGCAACUGACGCUGAAGCUCGAAAGUGCGGGUAUCGAACAGGAUUAGAUACCCUGGUAGUCCGCACGGUAAACGAUGGAUGCCCGCUGUUGGUCUGAAUAGGUCAGCGGCCAAGCGAAAGCAUUAAGCAUCCCACCUGGGGAGUACGCCGGCAACGGUGAAACUCAAAGGAAUUGACGG